CCAACGGCUCUUUUAAGAGCCACCCACGUUUUUUUAAAAAGGGCUG
rfam:Leptosomus discolor contig37170, whole genome shotgun sequence.